rnacentral:rRNA from 1 species
AUGAAACACUCCUACGGGAGGCAGCAGUGGGGAAUAUUGGACAAUGGGCGAAAGCCUGAUCCAGCCAUGCCGCGUGUGUGAAGAAGGUCUUCGGAUUGUAAAGCACUUUAAGUUGGGAGGAAGGGCAGUAAGUUAAUACCUUGCUGUUUUGACGUUACCGACAGAAUAAGCACCGGCUAACUCUGUGCCAGCAGCCGCGGUAAUACAGAGGGUGCAAGCGUUAAUCGGAAUUACUGGGCGUAAAGCGCGCGUAGGUGGUUUGUUAAGUUGGAUGUGAAAGCCCCGGGCUCAACCUGGGAACUGCAUCCAAAACUGGCAAGCUAGAGUACGGUAGAGGGUGGUGGAAUUUCCUGUGUAGCGGUGAAAUGCGUAGAUAUAGGAAGGAACACCAGUGGCGAAGGCGACCACCUGGACUGAUACUGACACUGAGGUGCGAAAGCGUGGGGAGCAAACAGGAUUAGAAACCCGUGUAGUCCGAAGUUC